GACAACAGUCCGAAAGGACUGCUAAUACCGCAUGUCAGGUCGGAAACUCCGGUUUCUGACGAAAAAGAGGGCGUCCGCAAGGAGCUCUCACCACGAGAUGAGUCCGCGUCCCAUCAGCUAGUUGGCGGUGUAAUGGACCACCAAGGCUUAGACGGGUAGCUGGUCUGAGAGGAUGACCAGCCACACUGGGACUGAGACACGGCCCAGACUCCUACGGGAGGCAGCAGUGGGGAAUAUUGGACAAUGGGCGAAAGCCUGAUCCAGCCAUGCCGCGUGAGUGAUGAAGGCCUCGGUCGUAAAGCUCUGUGGGGAGGGGACGGAAAAAGACGUGACCUAAUACGUCUCGCCUUGACGGUACCUCCUUAGCAAGCACCGGCUAACUCCGUGCCAGCAGCCGCGGUAAUACGGAGGGUGC
rnacentral:rRNA from 1 species